GUCCAUGAAAGACCAGGCUUCCUCUUCGCCGAACGUCUGAAGCCAGGCGGAGACGUCGAGGAAGCCUGUGCCGGAGG
rnacentral:sRNA from 1 species